CAUAGCGGCGCGAUUCGCCCUUUUCCGGUUGAUCCUGCCGGACCCCACUGCUAUCGGGAUAGGACUAAGACAUGCUAGUCGAGCGCGUCAGCCAAAACGACGCGCGGCACACAGCUCAGUAACACGUGGCUAAUCUGCCCUUGGGACGAGAACAACCCCGGGAAACUGGGGCUAACUCUCGAUAGGCGAAGAACUCUGGAAUGAGUCUUUACCUAAAUAGUGCAACGUUAUGCUCGUUGCAUCGCCCAAGGAUGAGGCCGCGACCGAUCAGGUUGUUGGCGAGGUAAUGGCUCACCAAGCCUUUUACCGGUGCGGGCCGUGGGAGCGGGAGCCCGGAGAUGGGCACUGAGACAAGGGCCCAGGCCCUACGGGGCGCAGCAGUCGCGAAAACUUUGCAAUAAGCGAAAGCUUGACAGGGCUAUCCCGAGUGCCAUCCGCUGAGGAAGGCUUUUACCCAGUCUAGAACGCUGGGGGAAUAAGGAGAGGGCAAGUCUGGUGUCAGCCGCCGCGGUAAUACCAGCUCUCCGAGUGGUGUGGAUGUUUAUUGGGCCUAAAGCAUCCGUAGCUGGCUAAGUUAGUCCCUUGUUAAAUCCACCGAAUUAAUCGUUGGAUUGCGGGGGAUACUGCUUGGCUAGGGGACGAGAGAGGCA
rnacentral:rRNA from 1 species